rnacentral:rRNA from 1 species
GUAGGGAAUAUUGGGCAAUGGUCGGAAGACUGACCCAGCCAUGCCGCGUGCAGGAAGACGGCCCUCUGGGUUGUAAACUGCUUUUAUCUGGGAAGAAAAAGGCCAUGCGUGGCAAAUUGCCGGUACCAGAUGAAUAAGCACCGGCUAACUCCGUGCCAGCAGCCGCGGUAAUACGGAGGGUGCAAGCGUUGUCCGGAUUUAUUGGGUUUAAAGGGUGCGUAGGCGGCUGAUUAAGUCAGCGGUGAAAGACUCCGGCUUAACCGGAGCAGUGCCGUUGAUACUGGUUAGCUUGAGUGUUGGAGGGGUACAUGGAAUUGAUGGUGUAGCGGUGAAAUGCAUAGAUACCAUCAGGAACACCGAUAGCGAAGGCAUUGUACUGGCCAACAACUGACGCUGAUGCACGAAAGUGUGGGGAUCGAACAGGAUUAGAAACCCCGGUAGUCC